GAAGGAUCCCAACUGUAAACUGGAGAGACUAGGACUCUCAGCCUGCAAUAUCAAAGAGGAGGGCUGUGCUAGUCUGGCUUCAGCCUUGAAGUCAAAUACCAGUCAUCUCACAGAGCUGGAUCUAGGAGGAAAUGAUCCAGGGGAAUCAGGAGUCAAACUGCUUUUAGACCUAAAGGAGAACCCACAGUGUAAACUGACAAAUGUCCUGUUCCUGAAAGGGAGUGCUGCUGAGGAAGCCUGUGC